UUGGGGCUUGCCCUCUCUUGCCAUUGGGAGCUCACGAAAUACCCCACCAUGGGAACAGCCCAAGCUAGCCUGCUGGAGAGGCCAUGUGGAGAACAGAGGCAUCUGGUCAACUGUCAGACGGGCCUCGGCCAAGGACACUGUUCCCACUGAGCGGGGUCAAUGGACCCUGGACCUUCCCCAAGGCUGUGCGCUUUUAGAUGAGACCUGUCGGUGAAUGAAUGCUAUACUUGGGGGACUUCUGGCCCCAAGCCUGGUGGAGCGAAGUGGGGGGUAGGGAGCAACCUGGUGAAGGCUAGCCGUCCACCCCGCCCCCGCUGCCCUCAGGUGCGCUGCCUAGCGCUCCCUCCACCUGUUCAGUGCUUGUUCACCUGUCUAUACCCCUCCUGCCUACUCCUUACUUACCCAUGAGACUGAGUUAAUACCUGGUAGAGAAGAUGGAAAGAACUUACACACAGACCCUUCACAGGGGGCGUCCGUAUUGACCCCCUUCCUCCUUACUCACCCCAUUUCCAGGGGACCACUAUUAAUAGUUGAGUGUGCACAGUUCUGGGCACUUCCCCCCGAGCAUGGAAGCGCAAUAAUGUGCUCUGCACAGAAAUGAGGCCAGGAUGUUAUGAGAAGAGCUAACUGUAACGACAGUUCCCCAAAUGCAAGCGCACUGGUCUGUGCACUUUGCAUAUAUUAACUCAUUUAAUCCUCAUGAACCUCUGUGAGUUACAUGAACUCUCCUCCCCAUUUUUCAGGUGACCCUCUCUGAGGCACAGAGAGGUUAGGUAGCCUGCCCAGGGUCACACAGCUACUAAGUAGCAGAGGCAGGAGGUGUUAACUGCGAGUUAAUAAAGAGGCUUUCCUACUUUCCUGUGCAUACAGUUCCACGAAUUGCUUCUCCACUAAGAAUGUGUUAUUUUCUGCAACAAAUGGGGGAUUGUGAGAUGAGGAACACCAACUCUGUGCAUUUGAGAUUUCGAGAAAUGUUAGCAAAACCCUCUGAGAUAGUGGGGGUCUUGCACCCAGCCUGCAGAUCCAAACUCCACACUUGACCUCCCCCCGUCACACACAUAAACAAGCCCUCUUGGUCCCCCUCAGGCUGGGGAAUGGGGGCGGGGGUGUCCCUAGACAGAGGGAAGAAGCCCACACAGGCCCUGGAAGUAGGUGUGGUGACACUUGGGCAGAGAGUCCCAGGGUCCUGGGUAUCCAGGGCCAGAUCUAGAAGACGGUGUGCAGUGAUGGAGCUGGUGUUAGUGGCAUUGUCUGGCGGUGGCCUGGUCCUGAUGUGGCAUCAGUGUCCCCUGGUGGCUAUAGUGUCCCAGCAAGCCUGUUUCCCUUGGUCUGGAGCCCUCUUGACCCCUUCUCAUUUUCCUGGCCUAUUCCUCUCCGAUCCCCAAGGUUUUUGGCGUGCCCUCCAAAAUAAAGCCCUUUUUUAAUGUGAAGUAGUUGUUGCCAUAGAUUAAGGACCCUCCUACUGAUACAUAUAUACAGCGGGUUAUUUGCAAACUUUCAAGAUUUUGCCAAUCAGAUAGGAAAAAGAAAACAAGGAAAGGAAAAGUGUUUCAUGAAUACCAUUUCGAUUUCCUCGCCAUCUGACUGGUUCUUAUAUCCCGUUGAACCUCUCAGAGAAGACUCAUUUGACUUACUGUAAUGUCCUCUUCUAAUGCCUGUGUUACCUUGUUUUCUUCAAGGUUCGGUCUGGUUCUUUCUCUGUAAGCUGUUGGUUUCCUUCAAAUGUAGGGGGGCUCUUGGUUAUCUGAUCCCAUUGGUAAAUGAGUGUCAAGACAGAGGUUGUCAAAGUGUGGCCUGCGGACCCCUGGGGUUCCUGAGAGUCAGGGGGUCCACAAAGUCAAAACUAAUAGAAAUACAAAGAUGUUUUUCUCUUACGAUUGUUUAGCGGAGUUUUCCAGAGUCUGCAUGAUGUGUGAUAUCAUAACAGAUUAAAAUGGAAGCAGAUAUGAAAAUCCGGCUGUCUAUUAAAGCCAGACUUAGUCAAGAUUUAAAAAAAUAUAAACCAAUGUCACCCUUCUUGCUAAAAAAAACUAUUUCUAGAAAAAGAUAGCUGUGUUCAUAAAUGUUAUUUGUGUGAACAUGUAUUAGCUUUAUUAUCAUUUUAAAAUAAAGGCAUAAAUAUUCAAAAA